CCUACGGGUGGCAGCAGUGAGGAAUAUUGGUCAAUGGCCGGAAGGCUGAACCAGCCAUGCCGCGUGAAGGUCAGUGCCCUAUGGGCGUUAAACUUCUUUUGUGCGGGAGCAAUAAUGGUCACGUGUGGCCAGACGAGAGUACCGUACGAAUAAGCAUCGGCUAACUCCGUGCCAGCGGCCGCGGGAAUACGGGGGGUGCAAGCGUUAUCCGGAUUUAUUGGGUUUAAAGGGUGCGUAGGCUGUGAGGUAAGUCAGCGGUGAAAUGCCCCCGCUCAACGGGGUGAAGUGCCAUUGAUACUGCCUUGCUGGAGUGCGGAUGCGGUAGGAGGAAUGUGUGGUGUAGCGGUGAAAUGCAUAGAUAUCACACAGAACACCGAUUGCGAAGGCAGCUCACGAAUCCGCGAUUGACGCUGAUGCACGAAAGCGUGGGUAUCAAACAGGAUUAGAUACCCCAGUAGUC
rnacentral:rRNA from 1 species